rnacentral:rRNA from 1 species
CAGUGUGUUUCGACACACUAUCAUUAACUGAAUCCAUAGGUUAAUGAGGCGAACCGGGGGAACUGAAACAUCUAAGUACCCCGAGGAAAAGAAAUCAACCGAGAUUCCCCCAGUAGCGGCGAGCGAACGGGGAGCAGCCCAGAGCCUGAAUCAGUGUGUGUGUUAGUGGAAGCGUCUGGAAAGGCGCGCGAUACAGGGUGACAGCCCCGUACACAAAAAUGCACAUGCUGUGAGCUCGAUGAGUAGGGCGGGACACGUGGUAUCCUGUCUGAAUAUGGGGGGACCAUCCUCCAAGGCUAAAUACUCCUGACUGACCGAUAGUGAACCAGUACCGUGAGGGAAAGGCGAAAAGAACCCCGGCGAGGGGAGUGAAAAAGAACCUGAAACCGUGUACGUACAAGCAGUGGGAGCACGCUUAGGCGUGUGACUGCGUACCUUUUGUAUAAUGGGUCAGCGACUUAUAUUCUGUAGCAAGGUUAACCGAAUAGGGGAGCCGAAGGGAAACCGAGUCUUAACUGGGCGUUAAGUUGCAGGGUAUAGACCCGAAACCCGGUGAUCUAGCCAUGGGCAGGUUGAAGGUUGGGUAACACUAACUGGAGGACCGAACCGACUAAUGUUGAAAAAUUAGCGGAUGACUUGUGGCUGGGGGUGAAAGGCCAAUCAAACCGGGAGAUAGCUGGUUCUCCCCGAAAGCUAUUUAGGUAGCGCCUCGUGAAUUCAUCUCCGGGGGUAGAGCACUGUUUCGGCAAGGGGGUCAUCCCGACUUACCAACCCGAUGCAAACUGCGAAUACCGGAGAAUGUUAUCACGGGAGACACACGGCGGGUGCUAACGUCCGUCGUGAAGAGGGAAACAACCCAGACCGCCAGCUAAGGUCCCAAAGUCAUGGUUAAGUGGGAAACGAUGUGGGAAGGCCCAGACAGCCAGGAUGUUGGCUUAGAAGCAGCCAUCAUUUAAAGAAAGCGUAAUAGCUCACUGGUCGAGUCGGCCUGCGCGGAAGAUGUAACGGGGCUAAACCAUGCACCGAAGCUGCGGCAGCGACACUAUGUGUUGUUGGGUAGGGGAGCGUUCUGUAAGCCUGUGAAGGUGUGCUGUGAGGCAUGCUGGAGGUAUCAGAAGUGCGAAUGCUGACAUAAGUAACGAUAAAGCGGGUGAAAAGCCCGCUCGC